rnacentral:rRNA from 1 species
CCCUUAGAUGUUCUGGGCCGCACGCGCGCUACACUGAUGAAUUCAACGAGCCUAGCCUUGUCCGAAAGGUCCGGGUAAUCUCUGAAACUUCAUCGUGACGGGGAUAGAUCAUUGCAAUUAUUGAUCUUCAACGAGGAAUUCCUAGUAAGCGCAAGUCAUCAGCUUGCGUUGAUUACGUCCCUGCCCUUUGUACACACCGCCCGUCGCUUGUACCGAUUGGAUGGUCCGGUGAAAUCUUCGGAUAGCUGGUAGUUGGCUUGCCAUCUACUGCUAAAAGUUGCUUAAACCUUAUCAUCUAGAGGAACAAGAAGUCGUANCA